GGUUUUAACCCAGUAUCACAAGGUACUAAGGGCGUCUGACCUUCCUUAGGGUUGCGUCACAAACCUUAAUUUUUGGAUCGCCUUCUCGGGGUUUCCGGGAGGGCAAA
rnacentral:sRNA from 1 species